UAUUUUAUAUCCACAGGAUUCUCUGCUCCUCUUAGUCUUCUCUGAGCCUACCUCUCUCCUCUACCUUCACCACACUGACCACAAAACAAUAUAAGGAAGUAAGGCUAGCAACAACCAAAAGCUCCACCUCCCUCCUCCACCAGGGAUCCAGAGAAAGUGCAUGGUGCGCGGAGGAAACAGAAACUCAAAACUUCCCCCAAGUAACACAAGCAGAAUAUCAGUUUUGCCAACCAUUCACCAGAAGUAGCAAGCCGGUGUUCCAGAACGUUGAGUGCCACACCACAAGAAAAGAUCCAAAGACUGUCUUCAUGUAUGUUUAAUAAAAACGAGCAGCACAUUUUGGUAAAAGACUAUGUUCGAUGUAACAUUUAAAAGAUUCAUCAGUAGUUUAAUGCCAUUCAAAGUUUUGGCUUAGGGUUGACCGCUGACUAAUUACGAGGCAAGACGAUGGGAUACUCAGUGUAUGGCUUGGACUGUAGGGUGGCCAAAUAAAUCAUUUUUCUUUUCUAU